rnacentral:rRNA from 1 species
UCUUGGCUGUAAACUAAUAUAAUUUACCAGAGUACUAUGAAUAGCAAAAUUUAAAACUCAAAGGGCUUGGCGGUGUUUUAGACCUCUCAGGGGAACCUGUCUCAUAAUCGACAAUCCACGUUAGACCUUACCUUUUUUUGUAUUUCAGUUUGUAUACCGUUGUCGUCAGGUAACUUCCAAAAAUUUAGAAGUUAGCAAACAGAAUAAACUAAAUUUAAACGUCAGAUCAAGGUGCAGCUAAUAAGAAGGCGAGGAUGGGUUACAAUUAUCUUAUUUAUAACAAUGAAUAUAUAAAUGAAAUUUUUUAUUGAAGGAGGACUUGAAAGUAAAAUAUGAUAUAAGAAUUGUUUGAAUGUGGCUCUGAAACGUGC